rnacentral:sRNA from 1 species
UAGACUUUAGUUUCGAAUGGAGGAAACAUAUUUGGCGAAGCGGAUCAUGUAAAAACUAAAUCUCAAGAAUGU